CUGGGUCGCGGGCGGGGAAUCUCGCGGGAAGGACUGCCGGGAGGAUUCCUGGGCUCGCCCGCCACGGUUACCCUUCCCCUUUCCGGCUCUUGACCAUCUAUUUGUUCCUUUAAUUGUACAUAUUAUGGGAAAGUUUCUCCACUGCCAAGAAGGCAGAGCUUUAUGACUGGAUGUUACCAUAUUGACCUCAUGAAACAUGAAAAAGCUGAAGAUAACAACGUAGAGACAAGGAUGACAGGGCAAGAAGGCCCUUGCCAGAUGUGGGCCCCUCAACCUUGGAAUUCCCAGCCUCCAGAACAAUGCGAAAUAAAUCUGUUCUGUAUAAUUACUCACCUUAGGUAUGUUGUUGUAGCAACACAAAACAGACUAAGACACUAUGUAUGAAGAUUUUGUUUUAAGAAUUUUACAUGGUGAUAUCAGUUGUACCAAUAUCUUAUCAUAGGUUACUGCAUCUAUUAUAUGACUAAAUAUAUGCAAAUCACUAAGAUGAUAAUCUCAAUAAAGUUCAGCUGUUAUUAUU